UAACAGAUUAAGUGUUCCGCCUGGGGAGUACGGUCGCAAGAUUAAAACUCAAAGGAAUAGACGGGGACCCGCACAAGUGGUGGAGCAUGUGGUUUAAUUCGAAGAUACGCGAAGAACCUUACCUAGCCUUGACAUUGAUAGAACACCCUAGAGAUAGAGUGGUGCCCUUCGGGGAGCUUGAAAACAGGUGCUGCACGGCUGUCGUCAGCUCGUGUCGUGAGAUGUUGGGUUAAGUCCCGCAACGAGCGCAACCCUCGUCCUUAGUUGCCAGCAGUUCGGCUGGGCACUCUAAGGAGACUGCCUUCGCAAGGAGGAGGAAGGUGAGGACGACGUCAAGUCAUCAUGGCCCUUAUGGCUAGGGCUACACACGUGCUACAAUGGGGCGUACAGAGAGUUGCGAUACCGCGAGGUGGAGCCAAUCUCAUAAAGCGUCUCUCAGUUCGGAUUGGAGUCUGCAACUCGACUCCGUGAAGCUGGAAUCACUAGUAAUCGUAGAUCAGCAAUGCUACGGUGAAUACGUUCCCGGGUCUUGUACUCACCGCCCGUCACACCAUGGGAGUUGAUUUCACCCGAAAUUGGGAAGCUAACCUUCGGGAGGCUACCACUUACGGUGGAAUUAGCGACUGGGGUGAAGUCGUAACAAGGUAACCAAGGGCGAA
rnacentral:rRNA from 1 species